UCAGUGCGUCCGAGUUGUAAUCUAUAGAGGCGUUUUCCGUGCCGGACUGUGUCUAAGUCCCUUGGAACAGGGUAUCAAAGAGGGUGAUAAUCCCGUACUUGACACAAUGACCGGUGCUCUGUGAUACGUCUUCUACGAGUCGAGUUGUUUGGGAAUGCAGCUCAAAAUGGGUGGUGAGUUCCAUCUAAAGCUAAAUAUUGGCGAGAGACCGAUAGCGAACAAGUACCGUGAGGGAAAGAUGAAAAGCACUUUGGAAAGAGAGUUAAACAGUACGUGAAAUUGUUGAAAGGGAAACGAUUGAAGUCAGUCGUGACUGAGAGGCUCAGCCGGUUCUGCCGGUGUAUUCCCCUCAGUCGGGUCAACAUCAGUUUUGUUCGGUGGAUAAGGGCAGCUGGAAGGUGGCACCUCCGGGUGUGUUAUAGCCAGCUGUCGCAUACAUCGAAUGAGACUGAGGAAUGCAGCUCGCCUUUAUGGCCGGGGUUCGCCCACGUCCGAGCUUAGGAUGUUGACAUAAUGGCUUUAAACGACCCGUCUUGAAACACGGAC
rnacentral:rRNA from 1 species